rnacentral:rRNA from 1 species
UACGUAGGGUGCAAGCGUUGUCCGGAAUUAUUGGGCGUAAAGAGCUCGUAGGCGGUUUGUCGCGUCUGCUGUGAAAACUCGGGGCUUAACCCCGGGCCUGCAGUGGGUACGGGCAGACUAGAGUGCGGUAGGGGAGACUGGAAUUCCUGGUGUAGCGGUGAAAUGCGCAGAUAUCAGGAGGAACACCGGUGGCGAAGGCGGGUCUCUGGGCUGUAACUGACGCUGAGGAGCGAAAGCGUGGGGAGCGAACAGG